UCGUGUGCUCUCCCCAAAAUGAUUCUGAAAAUCAUGCCUCCUGUUCACACCGCUGGAACCGGGGCUGUGGGAAAGGGACUGCUCCUGCGGCAGAGGAAACAUGGAGGGGGAGCCCCCUGAAGACCGCUCUGCAGGCUCCCGUCCGCCUGGCCCGCCUGGCCUCCUCCUCAUCCUCCGCAGAGUUCGUUCGGAGGCCACAGCUUUUCCUGCAUACGCUCUGAUGCCUUUCUGCAUCACGACCGCCUGGCCAACCACCCAGCGCCCCACCCCUUCCCCUCUUCAGAGGUGACUCUGGAACCUUCGUCCCUGGCUCAGACCUUCUUGAACCUGCCUGAUGUCAGGGCCCAAGCCCACGGGCGCCUCUGUUCACAGAUGGGCAUGAGAUCCACAAGCAUCACCCACGCUCCACCUCGGCUACCCGCUGCCAUGCUGGGCUUCACCCCUACUCAGCAAUGCCCUGUCUCUCAAAACCCCCUCUUCAAGCUGCUGGUCUCUCCAACUCACCUUUCUAAAACCAACAGACCAACGACGGGAGGAAGAACUGAAGGGAGAAAAGCGAUGCUGAGUGAGUUUGAGAAAACUGAUCUUGCUGGACCUGCCAGUGAGCAGUCCAGGCGGCAGGUACUUGAUGACAAAGUGGAACUGCUGUCACCUGAGUCUCGGAAAGACAAUUUCAAACUUGCCAAUAAUCAAAAGAAUGCAAACAAAUAUGAGCAAACAUUUUCAACCCAGCAGAUUGAUGAAAAGCAAACAGAAUAACCAUAUCCAGAUGGUGAGAGUAUAGAGGAGACAGGUAUUAUUAGACGUCAGAUUAAAAAUUGAUGUAAUAGUUCUAGAAGGCAAUCUGGUAAAAUAUCAAUAUAUGACCAGCCCAGCUUUGAGCAGCAAAGACUUUGAUGCCAACAAUCCACUUUUUGCAGAAAAAACCCAGACAAGUAGGCA